UACAGAGGGUGCAAGCGUUGUUCGGAAUUAUUGGGCGUAAAGGGCGCGUAGGCGGUGCGGUAAGUCUGUAGUGAAAUCCCUCGGCUCAACUGAGGAACUGCCUUUGAAACUGUACGGCUUGAGGCCGGGAGGGGGUAGCGGAAUUCCCAGUGUAGCGGUGAAAUGCGUAGAUAUUGGGAGGAACACCAGUGGCGAAGGCGGCUACCUGGACCGGUUCUGACGCUGAUGCGCGAAAGCGUGGGUAGCAAACAGG
rnacentral:rRNA from 1 species